UUGGGCACCAGCAUCUGCAAAGUGUGUGUGGUGUGGAUAUCAGGGUCAGGUUAACCUUGCUUUCCAUCACGGAUUCAAUAAACAUGGAGCAGUGAUCCUACAUAAACAUGGAGGUCUCUGGUUUAGCACAGCUAAGUCUGAUUGUUCCCCUCCAUACAAG